rnacentral:rRNA from 1 species
CCUACGGGAGGCAGCAGUCGGGAAUCUUUGGCAAUGGGCGCAAGCCUGACCCUGCAACGCCGCGUGAAGGAAUAAGGCUUUCGGGUUGUAAACUUCUUGUAAGGUGGAAGCGCAUAAAACGGUACCCCUUGAAUAAGCCACGGCCAACUAGGUGCCAGCAGCCGCGGUAAUACGUAGGUGGAAAUCUGUGUCCGGAUUUACUGGGUGUAAGGGGCGGGCAGCCGGGGAGAUAAGUCAGUUGUGAAGUCCACGGGCUAAACCCGUGAACUGCAUUUGAAACUGUUUCCCUUGCGAGUCGGAGGGGAAAUGGGAAUUCCGGGUGUAGAGGUGAAAUGCGUGGAUAUAAGGGAGAAAACCAGGGGCGAGGGCGGAUUACUGAACGUUAACUGAGGGUGGGGCGCGAGAGCAUGGGGAGCAAAGAGGAUUAGAUACCUGGUAGUC